AACGAACGCUGGCGGCAGGCUUAACACAUGCAAGUCGAGCGCCCCGCAAGGGGAGCGGCAGACGGGUGAGUAACGCGUGGGAAUCUACCCAUCUCUACGGAAUAACGCAUGGAAACGUGUGCUAAUACCGUAUACGUCCUUCGGGAGAAAGAUUUAUCGGAGAUGGAUGAGCCCGCGUUGGAUUAGCUGGUUGGUGGGGUAAAGGCCAACCAAGGCGACGAUCCAUAGCUGGUCUGAGAGGAUGAUCAGCCACACUGGGACUGAGACACGGCCCAGAAUACUACGGGAGGCAGCAGUGGGGAAUAUUGGACAAUGGGCGCAAGGAUGAUCGAGCCAGGCCGCGUGAGUGAUGAAGGCCCUAGGGUUGUAAAGCUCUUUCACCGGUGAAGAUAAUGACGGUAACCGGAGAAGAAGCCCCGGCUAACUUCGUGCCAGCAGCCGCCGUAAGAC
rnacentral:rRNA from 1 species